GUGAUAAAUUUAACGGCCGCGGUACCCUAACCGUGCAAAGGUAGCAUAAUCACUUGUUCUUUAAAUAAGGACUUGUAUCAACGGCAUCACGAGGGUUCUACUGUCUCCUCUCUCCAAUCAGUGAAACUGAUCUCCCCAUGAAAAAGUGGGGAUAAACUUAUAAGACGAGAAGACCCCAUGGAGCUUUAAAACCUAUAGCAACCUAGCAAACACUUCCAUCUAGCUAUAAAAUAAUGCUCAAGGACUUUAGGUUGGGAGGACCACGGAGCACAAAAUAACCUCCGUAAUGAAAAGAAUAAGAUCUUUACCAAAGAGCCACAACUCUAAGAAUUAGAAAACUAACGUACAUGACCCGAUAUCGAUCAAUGAACUAAGUUACCCUGGGGAUAACAGCGCAAUCCACUCUGAGAGUUCAUAUCGACGAGCGGGCUUACGACCUCGAUGUUGGAUCAGGGUAUCCUGGUGGUGCAGCCGCUACCGAAGGUUCGUUUGUUCAACGAUUAAAACCC
rnacentral:rRNA from 1 species